rnacentral:rRNA from 1 species
GAUGAACGCUGGCGGCGUGCCUAACACAUGCAAGUCGAGCGGAAAGACGAGGAGCUUGCUCCUCUGACGGUGGCGGCGGGCGGGUGAGUAACACGUGGAUAACCUACCUAUAAGACUGGGAUAACUACGGGGGACCGGAGCCGAUAACGGAUAAUAUAUUGAACGGGAGGGUUCAAUAGUGAAAGAGGGUUUUGCUGUCACUUAUAGAUGUUUCCGCGUCGCAUGAGCUAGUUGGUAAGGUAACGGCUUACCAAGGCAACGAUGCGUAGCCGACCUGAGAGGGUGAUCGGCCACACUGGAACUGAGACACGGUCCAGACUCCUACGGGAGGCAGCAGUAGGGAAUCUUGGGCAAUGGGCGAAAGCCUGACGGAGCAACGCCGCGUGGGUGAAGAAGGUCUUCGGAUCGUAAAACUCUGUUAUUGGGGAAGAACAAAUGUGUAAGUAACUAUGCAUGUCUUGACGGUACCUAAACAAAAAGCCCCGGCUAACUACGUG